AUCAAGUGACUGAUGCAAAGUUCUUGGUCGAUGUCUUUAAAGUUGGUGUAAGAAUGAGCCGUGGAGAUUCUGAUAACAAGUUGAUUACCCGAGAUGAGGUGGAGAAAUGCUUGCUUGAGGCAACCGUAGGACCCAAGGCGGCAGCGCUGAAGCAGAAUGCAUUGAAAUGGAAGGCAGCGGCGGAGGCUGCAGUGGCCGAGGGUGGUUCCUCAGACAGGAAUAUACAAGUUUUUGUGGAGGAAGUGAGGAAGAAAAGUGUUGAGAACACUAGCAAGCCAAGCAUCCUCAAUGGACAUGAGGAAGAAAGAAGUGUUUAAGAGAGUCUCUGGUCUACCAGUUGACUACUUGGCUACUUCGCUUUAGAAAGGAAAUAUAAUUAAAAUGUGGACAAUAAUGCUCAGAAUGUAAGAGAGGAUUUAUGCAUUCCAAAAGUAAUUAAUAAUUUCCAAUCAUUGUGUAUUAUUA
rnacentral:misc_RNA from 1 species